UGAAAACACUGUCUGUUUCUAAGCAUAAACAUUUUUUUUGGGUGCUCUUAUCUUGAAACCAACUUAGUUAAGAGCUUCAGUUUGAAGAGCAUUAACAGCAGCAGUUUUAUUCAUUUUCAUUGCUACUGUUAAUGCUCUUCAUUUAUUCAUUUUGGGCGUCUCUUUGUUCUUUGUUGCUGUUAAUGCUCUUCAUCGUGGAAUUGGCAAUGGGGCGAUCUUUCUUUAGUUAGAGCUUCAGUUUUAUUCAUUUUUAUUGAAUGAACUUUUGAGAACUUCAAAAUUGAUUGUACCAACAAGGUUGACAUCUUCUCUAUUUCCAGAGUGUACUAUAUACUAAAUUUAUUGCGAGAUUCUUAAAAAACUGUUUAGAUAGGACAAUGAACUAUUUCAAUAUUGAAUGGCAAAACUUAAAUAAAUAAAACUGCUUCUAUGUAGUAGUCUAAUUACAAAGUUUUGUGGCAGUCACUAAUUACAAAGUUUUGAUGGCUUUAGUCCAGAAUUAGCGCUUGCGAUAAUUGGAGGAGAGAAUGAGCUUGAAGAAAAGCUUGUGGUAUAUCAACUUUCUCUAUAUAUUUUUUACCAUCCUUUUUUUCAUUAUAUGCUAGUCAAAUUCUUGAAUACAACCUCAAUUUCCAUUUUGAUCGUUGCACUUCUUGAGGUUCUGGCAGGUUAGGCCUACAAGUGAAACAAUCGUGAACCAUAUGUUUACUCAAUGGAUUCAUAGUUACCGUGAUCAACCAAGUGUCUCUUCAUCACAUCAUUUCUCGUUUUCUUCACUUGGAGGAGUAUUACUUGACAAUAAGAAAUUCAAACAAAUUAGCAAAGAGUUAACAAAAUGUCUUAAAAGGUUUCAAAGAACGUACUUUUUUGCGCCAUCUGGGUUCUUAUCCAACUCAUUCGCCCAAUCAUACGACUUGAUAUGCAUGGUCCCGAAGAGAAAUUUGCUGAAAACCGUCAUUCCCAGACGAUUAUGAAGAGGAAUGACACUUGAAGGUGGCAAGCAAAAAAUUCCAAUUUGCAAUAGUUGCAAUCAGCAAAGCAAAUGAGGCAUGAAGUAGUGUAUGAGGAUGCAAAGUAUACAUACUGAGAAUUUUCCACACACAUGAAGAUGCAAAUAGGUUAUCACGGGAGCUCUUUUAUCGUUAAAAAAAUAGCAUAUUUGGCUUCAGGCCGACGUCUGCUAGAGUCAUCUUAUCUGCGAGAUUAAGUAUAUUUUUAGCUUAGUCGUAGGACUCGAAAUUGAAAUAAAAUAGCAGUUUAUAAAUCUGUGUGCAUAUAAGAAUUUAUUCUGCUUGAAGCCCAUGUUAGCCGUCAG
rnacentral:lncRNA from 1 species